UUUCCACUUAUUUAGACAUGAGGUGGGCUAGUGCAUAUUAACCCCGUCCCCACAGCAUUUCUUUCUUUAUGGCAUUUAGGUUUGAAUUAGCCUCGUUAGGAUCUCUUUCUUAUCCCUUAAGCUCCUACAGAUUUUAAAGAUCUACCCAGUGCCCAUCUCAUGUUUCUUUUGAAAGUGAUUGUUAAAAAAAAAAAAAUCUGCUAAUAUGUUUGGCAUAAACAAGUAACUCAUUUUAAUUUUAAUUUUGAUUUCUACCCCAGGCAAAUACUUUUCAGAUGGUUAUUGGACAUUUGUAUUAAUGUUUUUUCUGUAAAUUCCAUUUGUCUGUCGGGGGACUCUGAGAGGUCUUUAGGAUUGAAACUUGUAUGUUCCUUAUCUAUUAAGGGCAUUAAUGACCCUUCAUUACACGUGUCAUAGUCAUUUUUCCACAUAGUCGUUAGCGCAGUGGCGGAAGGGAAGUGGUCUUCAGAGCAGGCUCUCCAUCAGAUUCUCAGGCUCACCAGCCAGGCUUCUUGGCCUCUGGCCCUCCUCCUUUUGCCUACAUUUCUGGGAGAUUCUCCAGCCAGGCCCAAGGCAGGUCUCCUUAUAUGGUCAAUGCCUCUUGUAAACAAGGGGCCCCUAAAAAUAAGCUGAGGCUGAGCUUGUGGAUAGGUCUCAGCUGUAUAAGCUUCCUUUCUUCUCCCCCUGAACUCAGGCAGACACACCUGGAACUACUGUGGCACCUGGGAUGCUCCUUGCAGCCAAUGCCAGGAGAAUCGUCCUGGAGGCUUGUCUAGAAGAAUACACGCAGGUAUUCACGUUUGUUGGAUAAACAGAACUCCAAUUGUUUAAGUAUAGACCUUUUCUUAUGAUGACUUCCUCUGAAGUGUUAAAUUCACCAUCAGAUGAUUAUUUAAAAAAAAUUAAAUCUGAGCUCCCUUGGGGAGUCUGUGGGGAUGGCCUUUGUGAGGAAAGUGAGAGCUGCUCAUUGUGCCCAGCUGACUGUGGGAUGAGGAAAAUGAGGCACAAAAAGGUCAAGUGCUUUGCCCAAGUUCACAAGAAGAGUAAAUGAGGGAGCUGGGAUUUGAGCCCAGUCUGUUUAGCUCCAAAGUCCAUUUCUUUGCUCAUCCUCUUGCCCAGUGUUGCCUCUCGGUAAGAUGGUGGCAGAGCUUGGAUUGAACCCAAUCUCUGGGCUCUGUGUCUAGUGCUCUUCCCACACACUUUAGAGAAGACAGCCUUGGGCCCUAACUUCCCUUGGGCUGGAGAGGCGUGUAAGACUAGUCCUGGAGUUUGGAAAGGUCCACACUGAGCUCAACUGUUACUGUCUGGCCCUGCUUUUUGGGAAUUGUUUCUCUGGCCAAAGGAGUAUGGGUCUACAGACAUUUCUGAUUUUCAAAUGGAUUCUUCAGUUGCCUGAAGCAAAUGGUUUCUAUCCGUGGUUCUCAGCCAUGCUAUUAAGAUGCAUUGGUGCAGGGCAAGGAGUUGUGAGGUGCCAGCAAUUAAUAAUAGUUAAUGUAAUCUGAGACUGGAGCACCUGGGGAUUUCAGAAUUGGCAGCUGGGACUUCUCUCCCAGAGCCUCAGCGAAGGGAUCGGGGCAUGCAGCACCUUCUGUUUGUUGUUAAAUGGCCUCAAUCCUAUCUCUGCCUCAAGUGUAAACUUUAAUGAGCAUGUCCUGCCACACCGUGUGUAGAACUCUGCACUUUGUUCUUAUUUUACAAAAGGCAGAGUACGUGAUGUGAAAGAACCUAGUGUCUAACAGAGGAGAGGAGAGCAAGCUAGAAAACACACUGCACCUUGUGGUCCAUGCAGCGUGGCGUCCCGUUCAAUGACUGCCUGACCAGCAAAUAAUAAUUAUAAACAAAUUAAAGCAUUCUUGCUGUUUCUCCUGAAAACGCCAUAGCAGAACUUCUGAAAAAUCCUAUUUUUUCCAUCUUAAAGUAUGUCCUUAACACUGCAGCUUUCCAAAGUCUCUCUUCUCCCCCAGCACAAGCUGCUCCCCAAAUCUCUACCCAACUGGACCCCCAUAAACCUGCCUGUCUCUUCAUUUCUCCUUCCUUGCUCAGCCCUUCAUUACGUAGGUCAAUGCAGCCUUUUUAGUGACUUUAAUUUCCCUUCUUCCCCCGUCAUCUUGGUUCUGCACAGUAAAGAAAGGUCUAGGAGCUGAUGGAGAAGUUAAGAUAACUCCCUCCUUAGAUGGAGGUGGGGUGGUUUGAGGCAGAGACUGGGGCUGCUCGUGCAUUUCUUUUUGGUCAAAUCAGCUUUAAGUGCAUCCGCAUGGUAUUAAAUUUAAAGUCUCCAAUUCUUACCAGCUCCUGCUCUAAAGUGUGGGCUCCUGCUCCUCGUGUCACUGGUGUGUAUCUAGAAAACUGUGAAAGUGCAUCUAAACAUUAUUCUAGAAACUGUUAUUAGACAGGCCCAUUUACCCCCCGAACCUAGACAGUAUAUUCUGAAACUGAAAGUCCAUGGUUUGGCAUUUUCUAUUGUUUUGGAUUGUUGAUGCCACUGUUCCCCUCCCUGGGGUAGAUAAUAGAGCUUGUUGACCGUGGGGGCAGAGUGUGUGGGGGGGUGUGAGAGAGAAAUAGUUCCCCGGAGCCUUUAAUAAGAGAAUGGAAAGGAGUUCACAAGAUUGCUAGAAAAUGAUUCCAGAGAAGUAGGGGCAGGACAGGGAGGGAGAACAGCAAUAGCUUUUGAAGGGCGAGAAAACAGAAUAUUUUCCUUUAUUUUGAUGCUGAAAUGUGCAAUGUAUCAGAAUUAAAGAUCUGAUAAAUCUGAAAUAAAGUCAUGUGAUGUUUUAAAAAUUGUAUUGAAUUCUCAAAUCUUUGGCUUCUUGUUUAUAUGACUUUUUAAUUGAGAUCCUUAUUAAACCCACUGCAAUCAACUUUGCUAAUGAGUUCCAUCGUCUAAUUGGUAGUCUGUUGCUAAUGAUGAA
ensembl:lncRNA